rnacentral:rRNA from 1 species
UACGUAGGGUGCUAGCGUUGUCCGGAAUCAUUGGGCGUAAAGCGCGCGCAGGCGGCCCGGUAAGUCCGCUCUGAAAGUCCAGGGCUCAACCCUGGAAAGCGGGUGGAUACUGCCGGGCUAGAGUCCGGAAGAGGCGAGUGGAAUUCCUGGUGUAGCGGUGGAAUGCGCAGAUAUCAGGAGGAACACCAGCAGCGAAGGCAGCUCGCUGGGACGUUACUGACGCUGAGGCGCGAAAGCGUGGGGAGCGAACAGG